AUGGCCGGAGCCUCAGCAACCGAUGAUUCUUCUGCGAGCACGGCUGGGAUGAGGGAUGACGAUCGCAGCCUGUCCGGCGAGUCCUUGUCCGAGUGGCGGUCCUGCGACCAGGGCGAGAGCGGAAGCCCUUCAACGUCCCCGCCAUUUUGGGACACCGAUUGCGACGAUGAUGAUCCUGCAGGCCCUAAACCUUCAGAAUUAUACGGUCGGCAUACUUGGAGGAUUGAGAAUUUUUCAAAGGAGAAGAAGAGAGAGAUGAAAAGUGAGCCGUUUGAGGCUGGUGGUUACAAAUGGUAUAUACUUGUAUACCCUCAAGGAUGUGAUGUCUCCAAUCACUUGUCAUUGUUUCUUUGUGUUGCUAAUCAUGACAAACUCCUCCCAGGAUGGAGCCAUUUUGCACAGUUCACUAUAGCUGUAGGCAAUAUGGAUCCUAAGAAAAUUAAAUACUCAGACACUUUGCAUAGGUUCUGGAAGAAGGAGCAUGAUUGGGGAUGGAAAAAGUUUAUGGAGUUGUCAAAGAUUCAGGAUGGUUUUCUCGUGGACGAUGUUCUUGAAAUAAUUGCUCAAGUUCAAGUUAUCAGGGAGAAAGUGGACAGACCAUUUCGUUGCCUUGAUCGCCCUUACCGAAGAGAAUUGCUCCGUGUCUAUACAACCAAUAUAGAACAAAUUUACCGACGUUUUAUUGAGGAACGAAGAAAUAAACUUACCAAGCUCAUUGAGGACAAAAUUAGAUGGUCCAGUUUUCGUGCAUUCUGGUCAGCAAUUGACCCAAGAACCAGGCACCGUAUGUCCAGAGAGAAGACUGAUACCAUACUUAAAGUACUGGUGAAGCAUUUCUUUGUAGAGAAAGAGGUUACUUCAACAUUAGUGAUGGACUCUUUGUAUACGGGUCUGAAGGCACUCGAAUACCAGAGCAAGGGCAAGAAAGGGAGAACAAAAAUAGCAGAAUUGGAUGAACUACCUGCACCCAUGGUCAAUGUUGAUAUGGACAUAUUUGUUUUGGCUGGUGAUGUUAUAACUUUACUUGAGAGAGCAGCCUUGGAACCGUUGCCUUGUCAACCAGUAUCUCCAAAGGAUGACAAAUGUUCCCAGAGCCGCAUGAAGGAUGGUAGUUCUGGCGAGGUUAACAAAAUCUCUAUGGAGCGCGAAGAAAGACGCCUAACUGAGCUUGGGCGGAAGAUACUUGAAACAUUUGUGCUAUCUCACAUAUUUAGUGGAAUUGAAGUUGCAUACCAAGAAGCUGUUGCUUUAAAGAGGCAAGAAGAGCUAAUCCGUGAGGAGGAAGCAGCGGGACUUGAAAAUGAGACGAAGGGAAAACGUGGUGGUGGCGCGAACGAAAAGGACAAGCGCGCAAAGAAAAAGCAGGCCAAACAAAAGAAGAACAAUCGUAAGGUUAAAGACAAGGAAAGAGAAGAUAAAUCUGAAGCAAGAAUUCUGGAAAGACUUAAUGACGAAAUCACAGUUGAUGACAGUGAUGGCUUACCAUCUAAACAGGCAGAAGAAGUGGCACUGAAGGUUGGGCUUACUUUGGAAGAAGGUGCUUCAGAUGGGCCAGAUCAUUUGGACAGUUCUAGACCUAUGAAUGGAAAGAGAGUCUCCUCUAUGGAGGCCAACUCAUCAGCAUUUUCAGCUGAUUCUACUGCUAUGAAUGGUAUUCACAGCAAAAUAAACAAUUUACCAGACAGCAGAAAUCACUUGUCACCAAAUAGAGGGAAAAAUCAGCGUAACAAGGGCAUAAGCAUUAUCAGUUAUGCCGAAGAAGACGAUUGCCUUCCCUCCUCCAGUGUUACUGGUAGUUCAGAUCGCAAUAGUUCAGGCUGUGGCACUGCUCCAAAAUUGGACCGGGAUACUGUUCUACUCACCUUGAAAGAUAGACUUCGUGAGCUGGGGCAGCGUCUCCAUGAGAAAAACAUUGAGGGGAGGAAACUUUUCAAAGCUCACUUUGAAGCAAUGGAAAAUCAAACAAAGACAAAUGGAUCAUCCUCAUCCAGUUCUACGGAGAAGCCACCUGAUGUUCUGAAGAGCUCGGAACAUUCCCCUGAAGUUACGAACGAUGUAAAAGCCAAUGGAACAGCCAAUAAGGAGGUCCCUCUGGCCAAUGGUGUGCCAGAAGAAGCUGUUUCAGGCAUGCCAGCCACCACGAGUACUGAAGCUGUGCCUGUUAAGGCCCCUACCAGAACAAAGGUUGACCCAGUUUCAAACAAAGAUCAUGGAUCAAGUUUGACACCGCAACCAAUUAGAGCACCUCCGAAUAGCUCAAAAUCGACUCCAACUGAUACAGAUAAAGAUGUUCCUCUUCCUUCAAGAUCGCCACAAAUCAAUAGAGCUGCUCCAGUUCCCCCCAAAUCGCCUCCAACUGAUAAAGCUACACCAGUUUGUCCGAAACCUCCACCAGCUGAAAAAGCUACUCCAGUUCCCCCAAAAUCUCCGCCAACUCAUAAAGCUACUCCAGUUCCUCCAAAAUCUCCGCCAAUUGAUAAAGCUAUUCCAGUUACUCCAAAAUCUCCACUGACUGAUAAAGCUACUUCAGUUCCUCCAAAAUCUCCAGCAGCUGCUAAAGCUGCUGUGGUUCCUCUGAAAUCUCCAGCGACCGAUAAAGCUAAUCCGGUACCUCUAAAAUCUCCAUCAGCUGGUAAGUCUUCUCUUGUUGUACCCAUAACACCACCAUCUGCUAAGGAUGCUGGCACUCCUUCAAGAUCACUGCAAGUUGAUAAAACCAUACCAGCCCCCCCAAGACUACCACAAGUUGAUAAAGCUGCUCCACUUCCCUCCGCAUCGCCACAAACUUCUUCCACCACUUAUUCAGAAGCUCGGGAAGAGACCACUCCUAUAAAGGUCACAUCCACCAGAGUUUCUGAGGUUGCUGUCACAACAUCAAGGCCUUCAAGUGCCCCUGUAUUCCCUACACCAAGAACAACUGUACCAGCUACCCCACAAGUUCAAGUUUCUACAUUGCUUUCGCGCUCAGCGAGUGAAGCAGCUGGAAGAUCAGGAAAUGAUCCUUCCCCUUCUGCCCCAGCGUAUGUUCCACAGACCUACCGUAAUGCCAUCCUUGGUAAGCCUGGUCUGGGUACGCCCUCUUCAAUUCUUUCAUAUCAGCCAACUAUUCUGGGACAAGGUACUGCACUUUCGCAGCCGCUAUCAACAUAUGCAUCAACUGCGUCAUUAAUGAUGCCUCCUGCUGGGAGGAAUGAUCAGUUGUUGUCAGCGAGGCAUGGAUUUAAAUCUGGUUUGGGGAAUUCAGAUACACUUGAUAGUUGGCAACCAUGGAAAGGUGAUAGUAGCAUCAACAAUCAUCUCUGGAGGGACGACUCCCCUUACCAACGGACGACAAAUGGUCAUGCGUAUCAACAAACUUGGAAAGAUGAUGCUUAUCAGCAGACACGGGGCACUGAGACAGAAAACUUCAGCAGGUUUGGAGGAUUGCAACCACCUAGACAGACUCCUGUCAGUUUUGUCAUGCAGCAACCACAGGCGCCCGUGGCUGAAGAAUAUCAGCACCUUGACAUCAUUAAUGAUUUGCUUGACGAGGGACAGAGCAAUGGCAGCAAGGCAGAGCCUAUGCGCCAUGAUUACCAUGCUUAUGGUCUGCCAUUUUCGCUGAGGGGCAACAUAGCAGAUUCAGAAAUGGCUUCUGUUAGCAGUCCCGGGCGGUUUAGCAGAGGUAACUUGGCAGAUUUGGAUAUGGCCUCUCUCAGUAGUUCCAGGCGGUUUAGCAGAGGAAACCUGGUUGAUUCUGAGAUGUCUUCUGUGGGCAGUCCUGGGCGGUUUAGCAGAGGCAGCCUGGCAGAUCCGGAGAUGAUGGCUUCUGUCAGCAGUCCCAGUCGGUUUAAUUCCACCGACCGGUACUACGACGAUGGGUUCUCAAGGGCCUACGACAUGAGCCCUCUCCAGGGGCAGGGGGCGAGGGAGAUGCAGUUCUCCUCGCUGGACACAUACGCCACCAAUGGCGGCCUGUCUGACAUGAGCACAUCAAAGCCUUGGCUGUAUGGUGGGCAUAGCCCUGUCAACCCGUCGUCGAUGAAUCUCGGAUCGCUGAGCACCAACGGGUUCCCACAGCACCACCACCAGAUGGGGGACUACAGCAGCAACCUGGCGAGUGGGGUGAACGGUGUGGGCUCUGCCGCCGCCGCGUAUCGGCGCCAGGCCAACAACGGGCGCUGGUGA
rnacentral:rRNA from 1 species